CUAACUUCAAAGAUGGCACAUGAUUGGAUAAGGGAAUACCGCAGUCGACAGUGCACAAAAGAAGCGGGAUGCGGAAUCACAUCGCUACUGGACCGGACUACAUCGAUAGGAGCCCUCGAGAGCGGAGUGGAAGCACCACUGUGUUGGAGAAAAAUAUGGAAAAGUAUCAGACUCCGGCCGAGAGCUGGACUGGGAUUGACUGAGCAGGUCUCUGACAAGAGGAGGUAAAGAUAAGAAGAGCCAGUCCUCCACUAACAACCCCCCUCCAUAGAGGCCAGAGCAAUGGACCAAUUCACAGGGCAGCUCCUCCAGACUGUUACUACGCAGGUCCAACUUAUGCACCUCAGUCAAGGCACCCACACCCCGAGGUAAGGUGCGCAGGUAGUUGUGAGAUGCAUUCAGUAUGCGCAGCUUUAGACAACCACUGAACAGUUCACUGGGAAGACUCUCCAACCUGUUCCCACUUACAUCCAAUUCUGUAAGUGAUUGCAGUGCCCUCACCUCACCAGGCAACUGCUGCAAAAGGUUACCAGACAAGAGUAGCUUCUGCAGACCACGCAGAGUGAAAAGGGCAAGGGGGACACUGUGGAGCUGAUUGUUUGCCAGGUCUAACAACUUCAGCUUUUGGAGUACACUGAUGCAAGGUGGUAGUGCUACAAUCUGGUUGUAUGCAAGUCUGAGGUUUGAAAGAUGGUGUAGUUGUAACAAUCCACUAAGUUCCUCCAGAGUUCUCAGCCUGUUGUGUUGCAGAUCAAGAGAGUGCAGGUUAAUGAGUGCUGUGAGCGCAGAAGGGAGACGUUCCAACUGACAGUCCUGGAGAAGCAGCUCUGUGAGACCAACCAAGCGCUUCAGUCCACUUUGAGCCAACAACCGUGUGCCUUCAUUGUGGAUCUCCAACCUCACCAGUGUGCUUGCCACCUCACACAGCUCUCCUGGAAUACGCUGUAACAUGCUCCGAAUCACUAGUACACGCAAGUGUCUGAAUUGACGUAAGCUUCCCAGGGCCCAGCUGCGGGCCACUCCUCCCUCAUUGUGCAGACGACCAUUCAGGUGGAGCUGCUGUAGGCCCCUAAGGCAGUGCACCCACCCAGGCAACUGUGACGGGUGGGCGAAGGUGAGGUGGAGAACCUCCAGACGAUCCUGUAGCACGUUCAGAGCACCAGGGGCUAUAGCAGCGGAGCAGUGGUACAGAUGCAGCUCUCUGCGGACAACAGAGGAUAUCUUCUGUAACUUCACCUUACCACAGUGGCCAGUGUCUUGCUGUGCGGCGUGGGACAGGGCCUGGGAUGUCCAAGGCGACUCACAGCACUUGCUCAGGAUGGUGAGGAAGUGCUCUAUGCGGGCUGAAGUGUGUGGGAAGUGCAGCCAAAAGGAGCCAGAGGCCACUAGGACCAGGGACUGCAUCAAGGCCAUGUAGGGGAAGAAACGUGAGCAGAAAGGCAGAGCGUCAUGGGCUACUAGACUGACCGGUGUGUGGAUCCAGAGGAAUGCACAACAGUUUGUCCCGGGAAAGCUGCUCGGUACAGGCCAGGACGGAGGCUAGGAGCAUCAGGACCCCCAGAAAGGCGGCGCAGUACCACCCUGAUGGGAACGACGAACCCCCAGCCCCAAACCCACUGAAGCCAGCACCAGCUCCCCUCUCGCCUGCACUUUGCUCCCCUGUCUCUGCUCCCCUCUCUGUGCUGCAGCCCCUGCCGGGAGAGAGCGACAAGCCCCCCACCACAUCAACCACACAGCUGCCAACUGCCUGCACCCAGAGAACACAGCCAGCUCACAGUCUUCAAACCAGACACACAGAAUGAAGCCAUUCAAAGGUUUAUGUUAAGUAUUCUUAACAGUGUGAUUUCAAUCUGUCAGAUCAGGAAAAAGAGCAAAAAAUAUCUACUGAUGUAAAAAAAAAUAAUAAUAAUUGUGUCUUUUUUAAUGUGACUGUAAUAUUACUAAGUUGAUGCAUUCUAUAUUUGUCAAAAAUAAUUAAUAAAAUAUA